AUGGCAGGGGUGAAAGAAGUGUUCCUAGAGGCGGAACAUAGGGAAUGCAUGUUUCACUUGGUGACCAACUUCAAGAAGAAGUUCCAUGGGAAGGUGUUUGAUGGCCACCUUUGGGCUGCUGCUUACUCAUGGAACCCAUAUUUAUUUGACAAACAUUGGGUUUCUAUGGAGACAACAAAGCUAGCUGCAACUGCAUAUAUAAGGAAGUGGCACAAUAGGUUGUGGUCUAGGAGUCAAUUCUCAACUAUAUGCAAGUUAGACUAUGUAACCAACAACCUGGCUGAGAGCUUUAAAAAUUGGAUUAAGCACCACAAGUCCUUGAACUUGGAUGACCUCUUUGAUGAAGCGAGAUAA
rnacentral:rRNA from 1 species